rnacentral:rRNA from 1 species
GCUACGGGUGGCAGCAGUGGGGGAUAUUGCACAAUGGGGGGAACCCUGAUGCAGCGACGCCGCGUGUGUGAAGAAGCGCCUCGGCGCGUAAAGCCCUGUCAGCAGGGAAGAAAAUGACGGUACCUGAAGAAGAAGCACCGGCUAACUACGUGCCAGCAGCCGCGGUAAUACGUAGGGGGCAAGCGUUAUCCGGAUUUACUGGGUGUAAAGGGGGCGCAGGCGGCGGUGCAAGCCAGGAGUGAAAGGCGCGGGCCCAACCCCGGGACUGUUCUUGGUACUUGGUGGUUGGAGUGCAGGAGGGGCAGGCGGAAUUCCUGGUGUAGCGGGGAAAUGCGUAGAUAUCACGCAGAACCCCGAUUGCGAAGGCAGCCUGCCAAGCCAUGACUGACGCUGAUGCACGAAAGCGUGGGGAGCAAACAGGAUUAGAUACCCCAGUAGUC